AUUGAACGCUGGCGGCAGGCUUAACACAUGCAAGUCGAGCGGAGAUGAGGUGCUUGCACCUUAUCUUAGCGGCGGACGGGUGAGUAAUGCUUAGGAAUCUGCCUAUUAGUGGGGGACAACGUGGCGAAAGUAACGCUAAUACCGCAUACGUCCUACGGGAGAAAGCAGGGGAUCUUCGGACCUUGCGCUAAUAGAUGAGCCUAGGUCGGAUUAGCUAGUUGGUGGGGUAAUGGCCCACCAAGCCGACGAUCCGUAACUGGUCUGAGAGGAUGAUCAGUAACACUGGAACUGAGACACGGUCCAGACUCCUACGGGAGGCAGCAGUGGGGAAUAUUGGACAAUGGGCGAAAGCCUGAUCCAGCCAUGCCGCGUGUGUGAAGAAGGUCUUCGGAUUGUAAAGCACUUUAAGUCGGGAGGAAGGGCUGUAGGCUAAUACCUUGCAGUUUUGACGUUACCGACAGAAUAAGCACCGGCUAACUUCGUGCCAGCCGCCGCCGUAAAAC
rnacentral:rRNA from 1 species